GCCGGUGUAGCUCAUUUGGCAGAGCGAUUCCUUCGUAAGGAAUAGGCCGAGGGUUCGAAUCCCUCCACCGGCUCCA
rnacentral:tRNA from 1 species